rnacentral:rRNA from 1 species
UGCGUAGGUGGUUUGUUAAGUCUGAUGUGAAAGCCCUGGGCUCAACCUGGGAAUUGCAUUGGAUACUGGCAGGCUAGAGUGCGGUAGAGGGUAGUGGAAUUCCCGGUGUAGCAGUGAAAUGCGUAGAGAUCGGGAGGAACAUCUGUGGCGAAGGCGACUACCUGGACCAGCACUGACACUGAGGCACGAAAGCGUGGGGAGCAAACAGGAUUAGAUACCCUGGUAGUCC